UUUGCUUGAUUGGUCAAUACCAAAUAGUUGGUAGUUUAGCAUUAGACUUAUCCUAUGAGGGGGUGUCCCAGCUGAGAUACUUAGUAAAUUUCUGGUGGGUAGGAUGCAUUUUAGCAUUUCUUGUAAAGCUUCCUUUAUACGGUGUGCACCUAUGGUUGCCAAAGGCUCAUGUAGAGGCUCCCAUUGCUGGUUCAAUAGUUCUGGCGGGGGUUUUACUAAAGUUAGGAGGCUACGGGAUAAUGCGAGUUAGUUUAAUAUGAGGGGCUACAGCUAUACUAUCAAGAGAAGUAUUUCUAGCAUUAGCUCUUUGAGGUAUUGUAGUAAUAGGAGGAAUCUGCCUGCGGCAGACAGAUCUAAAAUCUUUAAUUGCGUAUUCUUCAGUAGGGCAUAUAGCUCUGGUUGUAGGUGGAGUUUUAACAGGAGUAGCUUGAGGUUACAAUGGUGCAAUAGUUCUAAUGAUUGCUCACGGACUUGUUUCUUCAUGCUUGUUUUGUCUAGCGAAUUUAUGAUAUGAACGAUCAAGCACGCGCAAUUUAUCUGGGUCACGAGGUUUAAUCAUAAUUUUUCCCUUAAUUAGCUUAGGUUGGUUUUUGAUAAGUCUUAUAAAUAUAGCCUUACCGCCAGCCAUUAAUUUAUUUGGUGAAUUAGUAGCUAUAGUGGCACUUUAUAAUUGAAGCCCAUACAGUAUUGUCUACAUGUCUUUAGGUGCUGUUUUAACUGCUGCAUACUCAUUAUAUUUAUUCGGAAUGUCACAAUGAGGGAAUACUAUAAAAAAUUAUAAGAACCUUUAUAUUAUUACUAGCCGAGAAUACUUGUUGACAACUCUGCAUUUAGUGCCUGCUAUUUAUUUGAUUUUUUACUUAGGAUUAAUGUUUUAGUUAGUCUAGUUUAAUAAGAAUACUAAGUUGUGGUCUUAGCGGUGGGGUAUAAACUCCGACUGACUGGUGCUAUAAGGUUAAAAUUAUGUUGCUACCGUAAUUAAUUAAAGUUCGAGUCUUUAAUGGUGCCAGCUCGAUUAGUAUAGAAAAUAUUUUGAUUUUAGGGGUCAAAGAGUGAAGAAUAAACUUCAAUUGAGUGAUGUUGGAACUAUGAGGUGUUUUGUCUUUAACCUCUUUAGGGGUUAUGGUAAUUUUCUUAUUUAGUAAAAUCAAAAGCAGUUUUGCUGAAUCAGUUAAAUAUGCAGGGUACAUAAAUGCAGUUUUGCUAAGUAUUUUAUUAAUAAGUGACGAGAGCGAAAUGUUGUUCUUGAAAUGAGAGUGAGUCAAAUUGGGUGGUUAUAGAUUAAUAAUUAGUUUCCGCUUCGAUUUAUAUACUUGCUGCUUUUUUGUAGUGGGAUUAUACGUUACAUGAAAUAUUCUCAUGUUCUCGUUCUACUAUAUAUCAACAGACCCACGCAUCGAUCUGUUUUGUAAGUAUCUAGGGUUGUUCUUAAUUGCGAUAUUAUUGUUAGUAAGUGCAGAGAGUUUAUUCCAGCUUCUAAUUGGGUGAGAAGGAGUAGGUAUUAUAUCUUAUCUAUUAAUUAGCUGGUGGUAUGCUCGUAGCGAUGCAAAUACAGCUGCAUUACAAGCAAUUUUUUACAAUCGUGUGGGGGAUAUCGGGUUGUUAAUUAUACUAAUAUGAAGUUUAGUUACUCUUGGUGACUGAAGAUUUACCGGUCUUUAUGCUUUAGAUUUCGUUAAUACGUUUUUCCUGCUGGGGGUUGUUCUUGCCGCUGCUGGUAAAUCUGCUCAGUUGGGGCUUCAUCCUUGAUUACCAGCAGCAAUAGAAGGGCCAACACCGGUCUCAUCGUUACUUCACUCUAGCACUAUAGUUGUAGCUGGGGUAUUUCUACUUAUUCGGUUUAGCCCCAUUAUUUUAAAUCACAAAGAAAUUCAGUUGAUGGUGUUUUUCUUAGGAACAAUAACAACAUUGUUUUCAGCUAUCUGUGCGUUAGCACAAAAUGAUAUAAAGAAGGUUGUUGCAUUUUCUACUGCUAGUCAGUUAGGCUUAAUAGUGACUGCUGUCGGUGCUGGUGCACCACAGUUGGCUUUCUUACAUAUUUGUAUACAUGCUUUUUUUAAGGCUAUGCUGUUCAUGUGUUCAGGAGGUUUUAUUCAUGGAUUACAGAAUGAGCAAGACGUUCGGAAAAUAGGAGGUCUACACAGUGCUGCUCCUAUUACAAGUGUAUGUUUCUUUAUUGGGAGCGCGGCACUUAUAGGGGUCCCUUUUUUAGCUGGAUUUUUCUCUAAAGACCCAAUUAUUGAAAUCAUUAAUAUUAAUAAUCUUAAUAGCUGGGCAGUGGGUUUAGUUUUAAUUGCUACUAGAUUCACUGCAGCUUAUAGUGUUCGACUAUUAUAUUUCUCAGUGGGCGGGGUUAGCCGCAUAUUGGUUUUACAACCUAUGAAUGAGGAGUACGGAAAUUUAAUUGGGCCAUUACAACGGUUAGCUUACAGAAGUGUAAUUGCUGGGGUAGUUUUUAUUUAUUUUUUGAGCCCAAAUCAAAUUAGUUGUUUAUCAUUACCUUUAAGUUUAAAACUUGCAGCAGUAUUUGUUACCCUGGUAGGGGGGUUAAUUGCAUGAGAUGUAGUAAAUUUACUUCACCGAGAAGAGAGUGUUACUAACAUCCCGGAACUGGCUUUCGAGGCACAAGUUGGUUUCUACCCUUUAAUUAUGCAUAAACUAAUCCCAAAAGUUUGACUAAACAUGGGGGAAAUAUAUCAAAUGCAGGUCAUGGAUCGGGGGUGGACGGAGCUAGCUUUACCGCAAGGUCUUGGAGGUAAUUAUAAGAUUAUAGCUGAUAAUGUUGUUAAUGCACAGACAUCGCUAAUUAAAAUAUACAUUGCAGUUAUAGUAAUAAUAGGUGGUCUCAUUUUAGGGAUUAUAAUUUGCCUGUAGAAGAGAUUAUAAUUCUUUUUUGGGGAAAAACCCAGUAAAGUUGGGGGAAGCGCGGCUGCGCGCCUCUUGUCGAAUGAUAAAUAAUUUCUUCUCUCCAAAACUAAAGAAUGAAAAGUGCUGUAGUACGCAUUCACUUAGUAUAAGGCUAUUAUUUUAGACUUCCAAUCUGAGGGUCCACUAAUAGGUGGAGUGAAUAAACCAUUUUAUCGUUGUUUGGCGAUGAGACACUACUUCUAAAAUAGAGAAGAGGAGUGCAGUUAAAAUCAUGACAGCUACAAUGAAUAUGCUUGACCCACGCUGAUAAAUGUCAAAUAAUAUGUAUGAUGGUUGUAUAUCAUAUACUAAUCAAGGUUUUGUUUCACAAAGCGCUUCAAUUGAGGGUGAAGAGAUUAUUGUAAUAAGUAUCACUCCGAAACUUGCUAUUAAAGCUGACAUGGUUAAGUUAAUGGGGAGUGGUAUUAAGUCAGCCGCGUAGGCUGUACUGUAAAUAAAGACGACAAGUAUCCCUCCUAAAUAAAUUAGUAUUAAAAUAAUUGCAGGGAAGAUAAUAUCUGCGUCUAGAAGCAAAAGUGCUGCCAGUAGAGCUAGUCAGGCAGUUGCAAGAGCUCCAUAGUAUGGGGAGGUUGCACGAAUAACUAUAAUUGCGGCAAGUAACAGUAAGAAUAUCAAUAUUAUUUGCAUAAAUUUUUGCUCGACUUACGAGAAUUCAAGCAUGAAAAGCUUGUGUUAUAUUUUAACUACAAAAAUUAUGUCUGGUCCUUUGCGGAAACAUCAUCCGUUACUAAAAGUUGUAAAUCAUUCUGUGAUUGACUUGCCUGUCCCUAGUAAUAUUUCUGUUAUGUGGAAUUUUGGAUCCUUAUUAGGUCUUUGCUUAGUGAGUCAAAUUUUGACCGGGCUCUUUUUGGCAAUACACUAUACAGCUGAUGUAAAUUUGGCUUUUUCAUCUGUGGCUCACAUCUGUCGAGAUGUUAACUAUGGGUGGUUAUUGCGUAAUCUUCACGCUAAUGGUGCAUCCUUCAUAUUUAUUUGUUUGUAUAUACAUAUCGGGCGAGGGCUAUACUACGGGUCCUACUUUUAUGCAGAGACAUGAAACAUUGGUGUAAUGUUGCUAGUUUUAACCAUAGCAACCGCCUUUUUAGGUUAUGUUCUUCCCUGGGGGCAGAUGUCUUUUUGGGGUGCUACUGUUAUUACUAAUUUAUUUUCAGCAAUCCCUUAUCUCGGGCCAGACUUGGUUCAGUGGCUGUGAGGUGGAUUCUCAGUUGAUAAUGCUACGCUAACACGGUUUUUCGCAUUCCAUUUCUUUUUACCUUUUAUAAUUGCAGGGUUAUCUGUUGUCCAUUUAUUAUUUUUACACCAAACGGGGGCUAAUAAUCCUACAGGGCUAGCAGGGGAUGUAGAUAAAGUCCCCUUUCAUGCUUAUUUCUCUUAUAAGGAUGUGGUAGGGUUCGUUGUUCUGUUGGCUGGGUUAGUGUUUAUUGCACUUUUCUCCCCUAAUCUUUUGACGGACCCAGAGAAUUAUAUCCCUGCUAAUCCCCUUGUGACGCCAGUUCACAUCCAGCCGGAAUGAUACUUUUUGUUUGCUUAUGCAAUUCUUCGGUCAAUUCCUAAUAAGUUAGGCGGAGUUGUAGCGUUAGCAAUGUCUAUUGUAGUUUUAUUUUUUAUACCUUUCGUUCAUUCUAGCCGUCAGACGAGCCAUAAUUUUCGACCUCUAGCCCAGGUCCUUUUUUGGUUAAUAGUAGUGAAUGUGUUACUAUUAACUUGGCUAGGGGGUCAGCCUGUGGAAUAUCCUUACAUUUUUUUAGGACAAGCGGCAUCGGUUAUUUAUUUUGUUAACAUUUUACUGUUUAUCCCUAUUGUGGGGUAUGUGGAGAAUAAGCUUUUGUUUAGUUAGUUUUAAGUAGCUUAAGUAAAAGCAUCGGUCUUGUAAAUCGAAGAUAAUAAUAUUAUUCUAAAACUCAGAAAAGAUAAAUACUUAUCAUUUUAAACUCCCAAAGUUUAGGUUUUACUUAAACUAUUUUCUGAGUGCAGAUUUGAUUCUGGUUUCAAUUAUAAAGGGGUUACUGAUGAUACAUGCUAAUCGUUAUGCACCAGUGAGAGAUGGGGGCGCUAAGAGUUUAAGUUUUAACGCAAAUUGAAGCAUAUUAUUGUUAUUUGCUUUGUCUUACCACUCUAUACAGCAAGAGCAGUACUUAAUAUUGGAGAAGGUGUGAGAGCAUGCUUCAGCAGUGGUUAUACUAGUGUGGCAAAGAUUGUGCCAGCCGCCGCGGUUACACCUGAACAAAUAUUUAUAAUACACGUAUCUGUAAUUUUCAUAGCAAGUUAAGAUUAUCUAAGAGGUGAUGUCGUAUGCUUUCUCGUUUGUAAAUCUUAAAAGUGUUAAUUACACGAAGUAAAGGUAUAAACCAGGAUUAGAGACCCUGCUAUUCUUUACCAGUUAACAGUUGGUUAGUACGAAUUAUGUUUGAAAACUAAAGAUUUUGGCAGUGGAUAAUGUCUAUUCAGAGGAGUUUGUUCAGUAAAAUCGAUAAUCCGCGAGGAUCUUACUCUAUUUGGUGUUCAACUUAUAUACCGCCGUCGUCAGCUAAUGUCAUAAGGGUGUAAGAAUUAGCUAAGAGAUGGAUAUCUAAACGUCAGGUCAGGGUGUAGUCAAUAGUAGAGGUUGGAAUGAAUUACAGUUAUUUAGCAAUACCGGAUAUUACUCAUGAAACUAGUAAUUGAAGUUGGAUUUGGUUGUAAAUUUGUAUUAUGAUGAUAUAUUGACUGUAGCGCUUAUCUAUGCACACACCGCCCGUCAUUUUCCUGAAAUCAUAAAGGAAAGAAGUCGUAACAAGGUAGGGCAUCCGGAAGGAUCCCCUGGGGAAUUAUAGGUAGACGUAGGUUAACUAGACUGUUAUCUUGAAAAGGUAAAGGAAGGCAUUUAUGCUUCGUUACCGGACUAGCUAGAGCUUGACAUAAGCGUUUCUUUUACACGGAAAAGAUAUUUGUGAAUCAAAUUAGCUUGAAGUAAAUAUCUUGUAAACAAUUGUUAUGGUUUAUAAAACUUUAAUAUUGUGUAGGGGCGAACAAAAUCUAGUGAUGAGUACUGAAAAGGAAUACGAGAAAUAAUUAAUAAGGCUUUAACUAAUAACCCAAAGGUAAACUCUAUUUCCUUUUGCAUAAUGAUUUAAUUAGGGCACUUGCUAGCGUUAAUUAGUGUUAGUAAUCCCGAAACUAAACGAUUUAUUCUAGUCCUAGUAAAUUAAUGACUUAACUAAUCUAUGUUGCAAUAUAGUUAGAUGAGGCUAGAAUGGGGGUGACAUGCUAAUCGCGUUUAGUUCUAGCUGGUUAUUCAAGAAAUGAAUAAGAGUUCAGCUUUGUAGUAUUACCAAGUGGGAUUUAUCGGAAUAUGCUGGUAAAUCUAAGUGUAAACAAUCAUCUACUAUAUAUAAAUUCUGAUUUGUCUGUAGUUGGCUUAAAAGCAGCCAUCUUGUAAUAACAGCGUUAUAGCUUACAGUGAGGCGGUAACUUUAUUUUAGUUUGGUAUUGAAUAACUCUUAUAGAAUUUUAUGUUAAAAUGCGUAGGUUAACUAACUCUUAACACAGAUGUAAGUAAUUUUACUCUUUGUAUUUUGUUCUGGACAAAGAAUUAAUGUGAAGCUAACAGGAGAGUGUAAUUGAGUUACAUAAUUAGGGGGAAGGAACUCGGCAAACAUGAAGCUCGCCUGUUUAACAAAAACAUCGCCUUUAGACUAAUAUUAAAGGUCUGGUCUGCCCGGUGUAAUUAUUAACGGCCGCGGUAUUCUGACUGUGCAAAGGUAGCAUAAUCACUUGCCCUUUAAAUGGGGGAAUGUAUGAAUGAUUAGACGAGGUUUCGACUGUCUUCCCU